rnacentral:rRNA from 1 species
GAUGAACGCUGGCGGCGUGCCUAAUACAUGCAAGUCGAGCGAACGGACGAGAAGCUUGCUUCUCUGAUGUUAGCGGCGGACGGGUGAGUAACACGUGGAUAACCUACCUAUAAGACUGGGAUAACUUCGGGAAACCGGAGCUAAUACCGGAUAAUAUUUUGAACCGCAUGGUUCAAAAGUGAAAGACGGUCUUGCUGUCACUUAUAGAUGGAUCCGCGCUGCAUUAGCUAGUUGGUAAGGUAACGGCUUACCAAGGCAACGAUGCAUAGCCGACCUGAGAGGGUGAUCGGCCACACUGGAACUGAGACACGGUCCAGACUCCUACGGGAGGCAGCAGGAGGGAAUCUUCCGCAAUGGGCGAAAGCCUGACGGAGCAACGCCGCGUGAGUGAUGAAGGUCUUCGGAUCGUAAAACUCUGUUAUUAGGGAAGAACAUAUGUGUAAGUAACUGUGCACAUCUGGACGGUACCUAAUCAGAAAGCCACGGCUAACUACGU